rnacentral:rRNA from 1 species
GACAGAGGGUGCAAACGUUGUUCGGAAUUACUGGGCGUAAAGCGAGUGUAGGCGGUCUCGUAAGUCGGGUGUGAAAGCCCUGGGCUCAACCCAGGAAGUGCACUCGAAACUGCGAGGCUAGAGCACUGUAGAGGCAGGCGGAAUUCCGGGUGUAGCGGUGGAAUGCGUAGAGAUCCGGAAGAACACCGGUGGCGAAGGCGGCCUGCUGGGCAGUAGCUGACACUGAGGCGCGACAGCGUGGGGAGCAAACAGG